AGGACGAACGCUGGCGGCGUGCUUAACACAUGCAAGUGGGGCGACGAACCAGGCUUCGGCCUGGGGCAAAGCCGCGAACGGGUGAGUAACACGUGGAUAACCUGCCCCGAAGACCGGGACAACCCGGGGAAACCCGGGCUAAUACCGGAUGUGGUCACCGUCCAUAAGGACGAUGAGCAAAGGAAGCUUCGGCCUCCGCUUCGGGAGGGUCCGCGGCCCAUUAGCUUGUUGGUGAGUAACGGCUCACCAAGGCAAACGAUGGGUAGCUGGUCUGAGAGGACGAUCAGCCACACUGGGACUGAGACCACGGCCCAGACCUCCACGGGAGGCAGCGAGUGGGAAUCGUGCGCAAUGCGACGAAAGCGUAGACGCAGCAACGCCGCGUGGGUAGAAGAAGGCGUUUCGGUACGUAAACGGACCCUUUCGAGACGAGGACGAAGUCCUUCGGCAGCGAAUAG
rnacentral:rRNA from 1 species